AACGGAGGGGGCAAGCGUUAUUCAUCCUGAUUGGGCGUAAAGGGUAUGUAGGUGAUGAAAUUUUUUUAAAAUGAAAGUUCAAAUUUACGUUUUUGAAGUGUUUUUAAAAAAUAAUAAUUUUGAGAUAGAUAAGAGGUUGGUGGAAUUACUAAAGUAAAGGUAAAAUCUAACGAUAUCAGUACGAACACCUUUGGCGAAAGCGGCUGUCUUAACUGUCUGACGCUGAGAUACUAAAGCAUGGGUAUCAAACGGG
rnacentral:rRNA from 1 species